GAUGAACGCUGGCGGCGUGCCUAAUACAUGCAAGUCGAACGCAUAGCGAAAGGUGCUUGCACCUUUCAAGUGAGUGGCGAACGGGUGAGUAACACGUGGACAACCUGCCUCAAGGCUGGGGAUAACAUUUGGAAACAGAUGCUAAUACCGAAUAAAACUUAGUGUCGCAUGACACAAAGUUAAAAGGCGCUUCGGCGUCACCUAGAGAUGGAUCCGCGGUGCAUUAGUUAGUUGGUGGGGUAAAGGCCUACCAAGACAAUGAUGCAUAGCCGAGUUGAGAGACUGAUCGGCCACAUUGGGACUGAGACACGGCUCAAACUCCUACGGGAGGCUGCAGUAGGGAAUCUUCCACAAAGGGCGAAAGCCUGAUGGAGCAACGCCGCGUGUGUGAUGAAGGCUUUCGGGUCGUAAAGCACUGUUGUAUGGGAAGAACAGCUAGAAUAGGAAAUGAUUUUAGUUUGACGGUACCAUACCAGAAAGGGACGGCUAAAUACGUG
rnacentral:rRNA from 1 species